AGCGAACGCUGGCGGCAGGCUUAACACAUGCAAGUCGAGCGGGCGUAGCAAUACGUCAGCGGCAGACGGGUGAGUAACGCGUGGGAACGUACCUUUUGGUUCGGAACAACACAGGGAAACUUGUGCUAAUACCGGAUAAGCCCUUACGGGGAAAGAUUUAUCGCCGAAAGAUCGGCCCGCGUCUGAUUAGCUAGUUGGUGAGGUAACGGCUCACCAAGGCGACGAUCAGUAGCUGGUCUGAGAGGAUGAUCAGCCACAUUGGGACUGAGACACGGCCCAAACUCCUACGGGAGGCAGCAGGGGGGAAUAUUGGAGAAGGGGGGCAACCCUGAUCCAGCCAUGCCGCGUGAGUGAUGAAGGCCCUAGGGUUGUAAAGCUCUUUUGUGCGGGAGGAUAAUGACGGUACCGCAAGAAUAAGCCCCGGCUAACUUCGUG
rnacentral:rRNA from 1 species